UUAAGAUUUUUGUGAAUUCUAUUCGUAAUGAGUUAAAUGCCCAUAUUGAUGGUGAUUGGGGUGCUGAGAGUUGUUCAGAUGUUCAUGUUAAUAAUGCACAGCAGGUAGUCUACCAGGUCAUGCAUUUGGCUUCACAAUGUCUGGUUUAAUAACAACAAUAAAUGCCCUUUAUCCUAAAGCCUUUGGAGACCAAAAAUUACCUAGUAAUUAUGUGAACAGAGCUUUAUUAGCCCAAUCAACAGAAGAAGAUGUAGAAAAGGUUUUACUUAGUAAUGGUAUAGGAGGAGCUUAUGGAUUUAGUCUAAAUUUUGCUGAUUUGAAGAACAAACCCAGACAAACCGUCAACUUGGAAGUGACCUCAACCAAGAUGGCUGUGUCUUUAGUUAGUAAGAAAACAGUUAAUUUACAAGUGGCAAAAUAUGACAUAUCAUCAUAUAAUACAACAGGACACUACUUUCAUUUUAACAAGUUUGAACAUCCAGACACUGUAAACCUUCCACAAUUUAUAAAUCACACCAUUAGCUCAAUCCACCGUAGAAAACGAGCUGAGCAACUACCAACACCAACUGAUAUUGCCAGUAUCAGAAAUAUUCUUGGUGACACAGAAGAUAGUAUUUAUCCUAUCUACAGAACACCUCGACCAACAGAUAAUACUUCAACAUGUGCUACUGCAAUUUUUGAUAUAACCAGAUGUAUUCUAUUUAUUUAUACCGACAACCCAAAAACUGCUUCUCCAGAGUUGCAGAUACAACUACCAAACUGUUCAUAAGACAAACAGUGAUUUUAAAAAAAAUUGAUUAUUUCUAUUUUAAAUUGUAUUAUCUUUUUAUUUAUUUAUGUAAAACAUAAUAUACAAGUGAGAAAAUAUUUUAAAGAUAGGAAGCCACGGUGGCUAAGUGGGUAAGACGCUGGCUUGCUAGCCAGGAGGUCGUGGGUUUGCUCCAGUUGUUGGGCGAGAAAGUUCAUCGUAAUUUUCCGGCGUGGUUUCCCCCAGUCAUUGGUGCAGGACAAAGGGCCUGACAAGGACAGCUGUCCAAUUGAUCAGAUGGAAUGAAAAACCGGGGUCCCAUGUACACAUUGGAGUGCUUGCAGAAGAUUAUCUUGGCAAUUGGAAUUCGAUAUAAGAGUAGGCUGCAGCGCCGCUGUCCGAGCAAAAUUUUCCCCAUAGCACACUGUAUGGCGUAUGCCCGUCUUCAUUACCCCAGUAGGUGCAGAACAGUAGGACAAUAAGUCUCAUUUCAUUUUAAAGAUACUUCUGUCAAAUUAUAUGAUUUUUAGUAUAAAUUGUAUAUAAUGUUAUUAAUCUUUGUAAAACAUAGUAUUAAAAGUCAGCCAGUAUUUUAGAGAUACUUCAAUCCAAUUCUUCAUAUUAAGAGUAUAGUUGAAUUACUAGAAUAAGUAUUUUAUUCAAAGCAUAAGAGUAAUACCAAAUUAAAGGUAUUCACAUAUGCUAGGUUCCCACUGUCGUGCAAUGUUUUACUUUAGGAUUGUCCAUUUGAGUCCACGAACUGGUACGUAAAGAUACAUUCGGAUACGUUUCGAUACCAUCAACGCGAUUGCCACGGCUGACCUCAAUAUAUUAUAAGACCUGAUAAGAUCACCAUGAUUAAUCGUAGCGUGAAUCGUGAUAGUGGAAACCUAGCAUUAACAGUAUUAUGGAAUUUUAUAUAAAUUACCGGUAAUAUUUUUUAAUGCAUGUACAUUAGUAUAAAUGAUUUUAUAUUUUUCUAUGAAAGACAAGAAUUAUUUUACAUUUAUAUAGAUUAUUGUAUUUGAUUAUUUCUCUUCGGUGAAGUUAUGAAAUAAAUAUUAAUACAUACACAUUGUUCUGCAAUACCCACCUGAACCAAAGCUUCACAUUGACUCAAGAUUCAUGUCUCAGAUAUUGUAAAUUGAAUAAUAAGAAUAUGUUAUACCUUUUAUAGAAAGAAAAUAGAAACGAUAUUUUUAGACAACAUGAAGGGUGCAGUGGGGAAUGUUCAGGAAUUGGUCCAGAGUGGAGAGAACAUCAAAUUUGGUGUGGGGUCUGAGAAUUUGAUCAAAUCAGAAGUUCUGAGAAAAGUUCAUACAGGAUUAAAGUGAAGUGGGGCCACAGCGGAAUCAGUGCUUCGCUCGUUUGCUUGUUCAACGUUAUUCCGAUGAAUGAAGGAGAAAAAAGAGGGGGCAGGACUUUUACAGUAUUGUAGUAUGCUAGAGAUUCCUAUAUCGCCCGAAUGAAGUUUAAUGCUAAUAAUUAUAGGCCUUAGGACUUAAGCUUUUUAGAACUGUUGCUGUUUCACAAAACAUUUAAAAAUAAGGUGUAUUGUUGUUUUGUUUUUUUUAGGAAACAUGCCUUUGGAAGAUAGUGAACAAUCACUUUAAAAAUGUAACAUUGUCUGAAAUUUCUUUCAAAAUUGUCAUAAGGAAUAUGAUUGAUCAGAUUAACUGACAAGAAAACUCUUAUGGUAUAACAAUGCUGUCUUUCAACCCCCCACCCCAAAGUCCUUUUACAUGAACAUUUUCAUUGAAUUUUUGGUUCAGAGUCGAAGACAACAGGAUGAUUGCCUACUAAAAUGACGUUACUGCAUGUUAUAGUCUUUUGACCAGGCCUAGCGUAAUUUAGAAAUAGUCAAUCAACUUCCUUCAAUAAUUUAUCAGAUGAUUGUGACAUGCUGGGCUAUUUGUUGUUAUAAACAUUAAUAUCAUCGAAAUGUUUAAAAAAAUGUUAUUGGCCAAGAAAAAUGUAAUGGAUUUAACAGUGAAGUCAAUAGGAGAAAAUCACUAGUCUGACCCCAAAAUAUAAAACAGAGUUACCUCCCUGUGACAGUUAUUUUCUCUACUUACAGUUUGUUUAUUAUUGUAUGACUGUAAUGUAAUGUUCAGCCACAGACGCCACAGUGUCAUAUAUUUUGAUCAUUAUCUUAUCUGGUUAAUUAUCUGAAGUUUUUCAGAAGGAUAAAAUUAGAACCGGAGAAAUAUGAUGGUGAAAGAAACAAUGAAUAAGAUAACAACACUUACUUUCCUGGUUGUUACCUGUCUGUCAUCAACACAAUGUUCUACUCAGAUUCCGAUUUUACAUACUAAAGGCACUUAUUCUGAAGUUGGCUUUGACAUGGGCAAAACUUUUAAAUCUAGGAUACAUGACUAUAAUUCAAAAGAUACAGAAUUUCAAAAUAGAUUGAUGCCCUAUAUAACAAGUCAAGAAGGAGUGUCUGUUAUGGAUAAAUAUUUAACAGUUAUACGACAGUAUUACCCACAAUAUCUUGAUGAACUUAAAGGUAUAGCUGCAGGAUCAGAAAUGCCCUUUAUUCAGAUUUUUGUGAAUUCUAUUCGUAAUGAGUUAAAUGCCCAUAUUGAAGGUGAUUGGGGUGCUGAGAGUUGCUCAGAUGUUCAUGUUAAUAAUGCACAGCAGUUUGCUAUUGGUCAUAAUGAAGAUGCAGAUCCUUUAAUUAAAGACAGAGCUUAUUUUGUAAAUGCUACAAUUGUUGAUAAGAAUGGAAAUAUUGUGGAGAAUUUCAUGGCAUAUACCUACCCUGGUUACCUACCAGGUAAUGCAUUUGGCUUCACAAUGUCUGGUUUAAUAAUAUCAGCUAACGCCCUUUCUCCUAAAGCCUUCGGAGACCAAAAAAUACCUAGAAAUUAUGUGAACAGAGCUUUAUUAGCCCAAUCAACAGAAGAAGAUGUAGAAAAAGUUUUACUUAGUAAUGGUAUAGGGGGGGGCAUAUGCUUUUAGUUGUAAUUUUGCUGAUUUAAAGAGAAAACCCAGACAAAGUGUAAACUAUGAAGUGACCUCAACCAAGAUGGAUGUGUCUUUAGUUAGUAAGAAAACAGUCAAUUUACAAAUGGCAAAAUAUGACAUAUCAUCAUAUAAUACAACAGGCCACUACUUUCAUUUUAACAAGUUUGAACAUCCAGACACUGUAAACAUUCCGCAAUUUACAAAUCACACCAUUAGCUCAAUCCACCGUAGAAAACGAGCUGAGCAACUACCAACACCAACUGAUAUUGCCAGUAUCAGAAAUAUUCUUGGAGACACAGAAGAUAGUAUUUAUCCUAUCUACAGAACACCUCGACCAACAGAUAAUACUUCAACAUGUGCUACUGCAAUUUAUGAUAUAACCAGAUGUAUUCUAUUUAUUUAUACCGACAACCCAAAAACUACUUCUCCAGUGUUACAGAUACCACUACCAAACUGUUCAUAAGACAAACAUAGACUCUUUAAUAUUAACCAUGAUAUAAUGUUAUAUAAUUUUUGUUAAAACAUAAUAAAAGUGACAGAGUAUUAUUAGAGGUACUUCUGAAAAUUAUAUCAUUUCUAUUAUAAAUUGUAUAUAAUGUUAUUAAUUUUUGUUAAACAUAAUAUAAAAGUGAGACAGUAUUUUAGAGAUACUUCCAUAAAUUGUAUUAUUCAUAUUUUUUAUGAAUUGUAUAUAAGCCAGCCAGUAAAAUUCUUCAUAUUAAAUAUAUUGUAGAAUCAAUAUCGAUU